rnacentral:rRNA from 1 species
GACGAAGGAUGCAAGCGUUAUCCGGAUUCAUUGGGUUUAAAGGGAGCGUAGGUGGCCUUAUAAGUCAGUGGUGAAAUCUCUGGGCUUAACCCAGAAAUUGCCAUUGAUACUGUAGGGCUUGAGUAUAGUUGCCGUUGGCGGAAUAUGACAUGUAGUGGUGAAAUACAUAGAGAUGUCAUAGAACACCGAUUGCGAAGGCAGCUGACGAAACUGUAACUGACGCUGAGGCUCGAAAGUGUGGGGAUCAAACAGG